AUGCUUCGGACAUGGAGAGGUGGUGGCUGGCUCACACUUAGGAUGGCUUCGCAUCAGUCCAACUACAUUGCUAGUCCCCGUUCAGGGAUCCUGAAGAAAAUACAUGUGGGUUUGGCAUGUCUCACAUCCUGCAGCAACGAUCCUCUGCAAGCCCUGAGCCGCCAGUGUUCCGUCCACAAAUCAGUGAGGGAUGUAAAAGCGGCUGUGGCAUCUUGUCAGCUCCCCAUCAAAUGUAAGCCUAUUAUGUCGUCCUUCAGUAGCAGUUCAACAAAAAAACUGCAGCAAUUCUACAUGGGAAACUAUGAUAUUUCAGGUCUGCUACUAUGUACGUUGCUUGUUGGUAUGCCAAUGAGUACAAACAUUUUGUGUAGGUUCUUUGCCCCUUCAGCUUUCUCUGCCAUGGAUGUGUGCAUGCGUGCUAUGUGCGUGAGUGCGCUACAGCAAUUUGUGUAA
rnacentral:rRNA from 1 species